CACGCCACGCAGAGGUGACGAGACGCAAGGCGUCCUCUAAAGCGACUUCCGCGGGCGCUAGGUCAAGGGCUGGGGGCGGUGCUGACCUUGAGAACGUGCGGGAGAGGCGCAGGCGCAGCACAGAUACCAACUGAAGCCAGAAGGACAUGGACGAAGAGCAGAGAAACCAGGAAGAGGCUUCUGUUCAUUUAGCACACCAAUAUAGGCGGUUUCCUUUUCGUUAAAAAAAAAAAAAAAAAAUUAGCAUCGGGUGGUAAGAAGCGAAA